rnacentral:misc_RNA from 1 species
GCAGGUGGCGCAAGAUGUAGGAUA